AAUUGUCUCUUUGAAUUAAAUGUUAGCAGUAUCUGUAGGUUAAAAUGUAAAAAUUUAUUUUAUCUAAAAAUUAUAGCUAAUUUAAAUAUAAUAAAAAUGAAUGUAUAAAAAAAUAAAAAGAAUAGUAGUAUAGUAUACAGUAGUAUACUGUAAACCUGGGUUUUUUACGGUAGCACACUGUAUUACAUAUUUACAGUAGCAUUUAAAUACUGUAAAAUGGAAAUACAGUUUAGAACUGUAAAUCUUAUUUACAGUAGCCUACUGGCAACAGUGUUGCCAGUAGGUUACUGUAAAAAUCCUUGAAAAUGUCUAACAGUGUGACUUUACUGCGGUCUUUUUUGGUUUAUUUAGUUUUGUGUUAAUUAUAUCCACAAAGUAUUCGAAUAAAUUGGUAAUGUAAAACUAUUCUCCGCUGUAAAUUAAUUGUGUGCUCAAUUUCCCGCGGAAACAUGAACCAAUUGCUGACUGAAUUGUUUGACAAAGAGUUUGUUUGCCCACCGAAACUUAAAUCAUUACUGAGGGGAAAUAUAACAUUAUUCAUUUAAUUCCACAAAAGGUGAGGAAGAUAUUAAAUGUAUACGUUAUCUUUUUAAAAUGUUUAAGCUUUCUACAUAAUGUAAAUUGAACAUUUAUUAUUAUUAUUAUUAAUUUAGCGACCUAUUAUCUAAAUUGUGUGUUCAUGAAGGCCUGUACUGCAGUUUCCUGCAGGCAACGUGAAACAUUGCUGAGGGAGAACUUUAUUCACAACAAAAGGAUAAUGAUGAAGAGGCGGGACUUGAGCAGCUUGUGAUGGCUGUAAUUGUAAAGAAUGGAUCUUCUAGGAGUGGAAGCCCAAAGGAUGCUGGAAUUGUUAUCGAGGCCUUAAAGGUGUUCCCAGGGCAGGCUUUAUCCUCAUUGGAUUGGAUUGGAUCUAUGCAUUGAAUCUCCAGUAUCCCAGGCAUCUUUUCAGGUGUUUCAGAAACUUUUCUUGGAGCUGGAUUCUUCAAAGUUUAUGAACUGAUUACAGUACAGUAAGUCUAAACUGCUGUCUGAUGUUCUGGGUGUGAAUCAAUGUAACAGAACACAAACAUGGAACCUUUCGUCAGGAAAUGUGGACGGUUUUCUUUAAAGACUGUAAAAUACUUUUUGAAGUUUACACUGUUACAAAUACACCAUUAAAAAUGA